rnacentral:rRNA from 1 species
GAAAGUAAUUAAGGGCGAAUGGGGGAUGCCUAGGCUCUUGGAGGCGAAGAAGGACGUGGUAAGCUGCGAAAAGCUGCGGGGAUUUGCAAACGAGAUUUGAUCCGCAGAUAUCCGAAUGGGACAACCCGGCUGGCAGGAGGCCAGUCACACCGGAAGGUGGGCUAACCCUCUGAACUGAAACAUCUAAGUAGGAGGAGGAGAAGAAAGAAACAUCGAUUUCCUGAGUAGCGGCGAGCGAAAGGGAAAGAGCCCAAACCAAAGAUUUAUCUUUGGGGUUGCGGACAGAGCAUUAACGAGAAGUCGUAACUAACCGAACAUAACUGGAAAGUUAGACCGUAGGAGGUAAUAGUCCUGUAGGUGAAAGUUAAGAUAAUCAAGCUCUGAUCCAGAGUACCACGAGACACGUGAAACCUUGUGGGAAGCAGGGAGGACCACCUCCCAAGGCUAAAUACUACCUGAUGACCGAUAGUGAAGCAGUACCGUGAGGGAAAGGUGAAAAGAACCCCGGGAGGGGAGUGAAAUAGAACCUGAAACCGUGUGCCUACAACCGGUCAAAGCCCCAUAUGAGGGUGAUGACGUGCUUUUUGUAGAACGAGCCAACGAGUUACGGUAUGUAGCAAGGUUAAGUACUUAAGGUACGGAGCCGAAGGGAAACCGAGUCUUAAUAGGGCGACUAGUUGCAUGCCGUAGACCCGAAACCGGGUGACCUAUCCAUGGCCAGGUUGAAGCGAGGGUAAAACUUCGUGGAGGACCGAACCACGUUGCUGUUGAAAAAGCAUGGGAUGAGCUGUGGAUAGCGGAGAAAUUCCAAUCGAACUCGGAGAUAGCUGGUUCUCCCCGAAAUAGCUUUAGGGCUAGCCUCAUAUUAGAUACCCGGAGGUAAAGCACUGAAUGGCCUAGCGCCCGAGAGGGUAGCGAAGCCUAUCAAACUAAGAAUGCCGGAGUAUUGAUGUAUGGGAGUCAGACAGUGUGAGAUAAAUCUCAUUGUCAAAAGGGAAACAGCCCAGAUCUACAGCUAAGGUCCCAAAUUGUAUCUAAGUGGAAAACGAUGUGGAAAUACGCAGACAACCAGGAUGUUGGCUCAGAAGCAGCCACUCAUUUAAAGAGUGCGUAAUAGCUCACUGGUCGAGCGUCUCUGCGCGGAAAAUUUAACGGGGCUAAGAUACAAACCGAAGCUUAGGCUGCACGUAAGUGCGGGGUAGGGGAGCGUUGUGUAAGCGGAGAAACAGUAGCGUAAGCGGCUGUGGAGUUUACAGAAGUGAGAAUGCCGGAAUGAGUAGCGCGAAUGUGGUGAGAAUCCACAUGGCCGGAAACCUCAGGUUUUUGGAGGAAGGUUCGUCCGCUCCAAGUUAGGCGGGAGCUAAGGUCAGGCCGAAAGGCGUAGCCGAUGCACAGACGGUAGAGAUUCCGUCCCCACCGAAAGAUUUAAGCGCAGGGACACUUUUAGAAGGUCGGAGCCAGGUGUUGGUUCUGGUAGAGAUCGAGGGAAGAUUAGUACCGAAGUCCGGCUGGAUAAGAGGCGAGAAAAGCUGCGUGUAUAUCUAAGGUGCCCGUACCGCAAACCGACACAGGUAGGUAGGAAGAAGAUUCUAAGGCCAACGGGAGAAGGGUUGUUAAGGAACUCGGCAAAUUGACCCCGUAACUUCGGGAGAAGGGGUGCUCCAGAGAUGGAGCCGCAGAGAAUCGGCCCAAGCAACUGUUUACCAAAAACACAGGUUUGUGCUAAAUCGAAAGAUGACGUAUACGAGCUGACGCCUGCCCGGUGCUGGAAGGUUAAGAGGAGAUGUGCAAGCAUUGAAUCGAAGCCCCAGUGAACGGCGGCCGUAACUAUAACGGUCCUAAGGUAGCGAAAUUCCUUGUCAGGUAAG